CGCAGGCAAGGCUGCUGUCCCCGGCCGGGCUGGGGGCCCCGGCCUCUCCAGGCUCCCCACGCGCAGGGCCGGGAUGUCACCGAGGGAACGGGUGUGAGCACUUGGAGAAAUUGCUAAAUGCUCAAAACCCAUAGAUUGGGCUAAUAGAAGAGCCUGUACCAGACAUCUGUUGGUGUAUUUCUGCUGGACCCAAAGAUAUACUUCAAUCAACCUGCAACCCAUUCCAACAGAGAGUCAGGUGCAGCUGGUGGCUUUUCUUUAAACCACGUUGGACUUGAAGACCACACACCUCCUCCAGUCUUCCUAUCUUUCCACUCCCGCUCACAAGACUCUGACAUCAGAAGUCUGCGAUCCAGAUGCUGCCGGACUCAGCGCCAGGGCACCACGAAGGAGGCAUCACGCUCCCAUCCAGCCACCUCAUUUUAAGAAGGAUGCUGCAUGGAGGGAAUGAAUUGCAUCUGGGGAAAGAGUAUCCAGGUGGCAGAAAUUAAAAAGAAAGAAAACACACCCACGCCACAAAUUGGAGAACAGAUUGAGGAAGAGACGGAGUAUUUUAGAUUUGGAAUAUUUUAAGUGGCACUAGGAAGGAAAGAUGCUCCAAUCUGCCUCGGUCGCUUCAGGGGGCAGGAUCAGCGGUAACUCCUGAAAUCUCAGGGAGACAAACCUGACUCAAUGGAAGACAGUAUUUUCUCACAACAGGGGCUGUUUAGCUGUGGGAGAGAAGGCCGACUGCGUCUAGUUCUUAGAGUUUAUGUGUUGUCAGGGACUCUGGAGAAACAGGUCAGGAUUCCUAUUUGGAGGGAAUAGAUAAUUACACGAUCUCUAAUGCGUAACUAUGAUUUCUAUUCCACUUCCUAACUCUGUGAUUUCUAUCCGACUUUCUUUUUCUAGGACAAAAUUUUACAACCGAAACAUUAGGAUAUUCAAAUUCAUCUAAUACUUUUAUGCACAAUCAGACCAUGCUGCCGUAGAAACGUGUGUGGUGGAGCAUCUGACUCACAAGGAGCUCUCAAAGGCCUAUUCCUAGUUCCAGAAUUUCAGAGCAAAACUUUUGUGACCCCAUCUUUUGACAGUUAAAAAAAAUGCUUGUUUUUUUCAACGUCAACUGUAAUUUCAAAAUACCUCUUGAUUUAGGUUAGUUUAUUACUAAGAACUCCUCUCUCCCCACCCUCCCUAUUUGCUAGUAAGGCUUAGCCAUGAGGAGGCUAGGUUAAGGAGAAUUACGUGGAGAAACAGGAAGAAGGUGCCAAACCUCUCCUGGCCCAGGUUACUGAGACAGGAGUCCUGCACAGACAGGAAGGGGGAGGAAAAGAAACCCCUCCUCCUCUGGCGUAGGAAGCUGGAAGGAAGGGAGAGAAAAAGCAAGGGAAAUAGAGAAUGUGCCCAGAAAUCUUCAUGGAGGCCUCAGCUCAGAGUGGUGAGGAGU